AUCAAAUUAAGGAAAUAAGUGCCCGUCGCCGCUGACCUCAUCUGGAUCCCCAUGUGACGCUGAAACAAAUGUGGAGUCUGACGAUUCACAGCCAACGCCAUCAACAUCACGAGCAGCGGGAGUACGACGUCGUGUUCAGAAAGAUGAUGAUGGGUUUUCCGAGGUGGUUGAACGUGCGUUAGAGACCAUGUCAGCAGCUGGGAAAAGUGAUGCUUGGGAUGAUUUGGGUAACUUCAUUGCCUCAAAUGGUCGUGAAUGGGCAGCAGAAAGCCCGCAACUGGCAAAGGAGUUCAAGGCCGACAUGUAUGAAAUGGUGUUCAAUUAUCAGGAGAAAUUCGCACGGCCAAUAAUGCCGCAUUUUUUGUAAUUUUUAUGCUUUCCGCUACGUUGAGAGGAAAAACCUUUUGAGCUAAGUCUCAUUCAAUCUCAUUGUUUUUAUUAUAUUUAUCAACAUAUGUUAGUCAUAAGCAAGCCAAAUGAAAUGUGCCUUAUUUUUUGUUAUACUUAUUUAUUUUUUCUGUUUUUUUUUACAGUAUGCGGCCAAAAAAUUACCAACGGGACUCAGAUAUUUGUAUUUUCAAGUUUCUCCGAUUCUUUUAAUAUUGCUUAAUGUUUUAAGGCUUUAGUGAACUCAAUAACAUAAAGCAUAUAAAUCAAAGAUUCAAACUUUGUGCACAUUUUGUACUUUUUAAGUCUUUGCGUUGCAGUGGCACAUUCAAAUGUAUACGGUAUGGGGUCAAAAAAUUACCAACGGGACUCAGAUAUUUGUAUUUCAUUUCUCAUUCUUU